rnacentral:rRNA from 1 species
AGCCUCCUACGGGACGCAGCAGUGAGGAAUAUUGGUCAAUGGCCGGAAGGCUGAACCAGCCAAGUCGCGUGAGGGAAUAAGGCCCUAUGGGUCGUAAACCUCUUUUGUCAGGGAGCAAAGGCGUCCACGUGUGGACGAGAGGAGAGUACCUGAAGAAAAAGCAUCGGCUAACUCCGUGCCAGCAGCCGCGGUAAUACGGAGGAUGCGAGCGUUAUCUGGUUUUAUUGGGUUUAAAGGGUGCGUAGGCGGAGUG